rnacentral:rRNA from 1 species
UACGUAGGGGGCUAGCGUUGUCCGGAUUUAUUGGGCGUAAAGAGCGUGUAGGCGGCCAUGUAGGUCCGGUGUGAAAACUCGAGGCUUAACCUCGAGAUGUCAUCGGAAACCAUUUGGCUAGAGUCCGGAAGAGGAGAGUGGAAUUCCUGGUGUAGCGGUGAAAUGCGCAGAUAUCAGGAGGAACACCGAUGGCGAAGGCAGGUCUCUGGGCCAUUACUGACACUGAGAAGCGAAAGCAUGGGGAGCGAACAGG